GGGCCAGUAGAUCAGUUGGGAGAUCGCAUCGCUUGCACCGAUGAGGCCUCGGGUUCAAGUCCCGACUGGUCCA
rnacentral:tRNA from 1 species